rnacentral:ribozyme from 14 species
GAAAGCCCUGAAGCCGGUAGUAAUCUCGCUCGAGCUAGAGCCUUGAGAGAGGAUCGGCAACGGCACAGAACGUAAUCGAGACGCCGUCGUCCAGUCAAUGACCCUCGGCACUGUGCCUUUUUGCUGGGGGCG